AUCAUCAUUCUUAUCUCCUAACUAGCCAUGAGUAACUUAAGGUUUGAUCUAAAGAAAACAAAACGAAAGGAUGUCGACUCAAGGAGAAUGAGGCUUUUGCAGACACGUGUCCACUUUUCUUGAGCGACAAAAAUGUUCUCGACUUCGUUGUAGGCUUCAUUCACGUGCAGUAAUUAAAACUUUUGACACCUCAACAUAUUGGGCUUUGUUUUCUCUGGUCCAUCAAGGGAUCUCCUUCUUCUUUGUGCUGCUUGAAGAAAACUCGAAGACCUUACGAUCUCUCUUCCGCUUCCUCGGCAAAGUAACGUUCCGGCGUUAUGUCAAUCACUGAAGAAAACCCACUAAAGCCACGAUUUCCUCUUCAUUGCAACUUUUUGGAUUGCCUCAGUUUCACUCUAUAUAUCCUUUUGUUCUCUAGCUUCUCCUCUUUACCAAAAUUACAAAAAUCAAAGAAUCUUAGCAAGCUUCUACAGUCCAAGCUGCGAGAUUACCUUACGAACAAUGGUCGCAAAGUUGAUUCCGUACAGUUUUUAAAAAUUGUGUAGGUUCAAAGGUUCAUUCUGCAGAUCAAAUGAUCAUAUGGAUGACGCAGCAUCGAGCACUGAAACUUCACAUGUACUCGCUCCAUCUCUCUCUUCUCUCUGGUCUCAUGGCGAUUAUGAUUCUGUUUUUAUUUAACUCCAAGGUAUUCUUACCUGAUUAAUUUGUUUACAGGAAGCAAAAUACGCUGCUGUAUAGGACUAUAAAUCUUCUUAUAAUCUUAGGCUUCUUAGUUUUUUUAGGGUUUUGGCAGAAAUUCGAAAUUAAUAUGACAAAUAUUGCAGAGAACGUGUUGAGAUUCAUAAAAAGUCGUACGAGGCAGAUGGGACUUUUGGCUCACCAGAUCAUUCUCUUAGCCAACUGCAAAAAGUUAUGGACACUACAACCGACAAUGGAACUAGGGGUCUCAAUAUAUAUAUAUGUGUGUGUACAUCCUUUUGAUAUGGACAUGGCUAGGUUAUAACCAAUAUAUAAGCUUCUGAAGUUGUGCAAAUUUCAGUAGACUCAUCUUUAAUCCAAUUAGUAUUAUAUAGUAAUUUGCUUUCUAUUUUUAGUUUUCUAAGAUACUGUGUGUUUGAUUGCAGGGCAGGGGGUUGGUGUCAAUGCUCAUGUGGAUAAUGAACUGCCCCAGUUUGUUGCUGACAUUGUUGGGAAGACCUUCACUUUUCAGCUCAUGCUAUGAGCGUUCAACUUCACUUCCAAGCAUCAAACCUUCACCAUCUCCCGUUCUUUUACUGAGUGUCAGCAUGCACCACUCCCAGACUUUUUGGCGAUGGAGCUCAACAUGGUCCUGAUGAUCGGAUUCCUGUCCAGAAUCCAAUAGCUUCUAAGGUCUCUGAUGGUACCAGUAGAACUGUUGUUGAGCAGACUGAUGGUGUGGCAGCAACACUUGUGAAAAUACAAAUGUCAACCAUCAAACUUCCUCAUCUGUUGUACCAGAAAGAGGGGGUUCAGCAUCUAACAAUCAGACUGUUGGCUCAAAGAAUGGAAAGAAGGCACGGUUGGAUUAGAUCCAACUAGAAAACACAAAUCACCAUUACAUUUCCUUAUGUUUAUAUGUCGUCAUUUUCGUUUGGUUAUGCACUGUAACUUAGAACUUUAUCUAUUUUUUAACUAAACUCAACAUGGCGGCGGCGGUGUUUAACCUAUCAAUGAAAGUUUUUUCAGUAUACAUGUCUUCCUUUUAGCUCAAAUUAAGUAAACGCAAUAUAUGCAUUGAAGAAAUCAAAUCUCCUGCAUGUUAAAUUGUGUUAAAAAUAAUAUUUAAUUUUAUAUGUUAAAACUAUUUAUCAAAAACUAUUUAUACAGCAAGGAAAUUACGUGACCAAUUUUCUGAACUACUGUCAGGAAUUACCCUCUUCAUUUUUAGAUAUUCCAUCCCUACAUAAACAUCAAAACUCUGCGUUAAACUACCUGCAUCAUAAUAUAUAACAGUCUUUCUGUAAAUAAUCUAACUGGCGUUCAUAUUAGCUUGAACAUAUUUGCUAAUGGGACCAAAUUAAAGCAAGCUUCAGAGGGACAAAACUUCUUUCAGUACACUAAAAUGAAAUACUUCUUAUUGCAAUGAAAUACUUCUUUCAGUACACUAAUUUGUUGACUUUUUGUUAGACUUUUUUUUCUCUGCGAGUUUCUAACUAAAUUGUUCAAAAUGUGCCAAAACAGACUAUGGUGUUAGGCUGCUGUCUUCUAUCUAAUAACCUUGUGUGGGUCAGGAUCCAUGAGUUUGGUUCCAGUGUGUUUAUAGUACACAAAACAUACAUAAGUCUUUUGAAUUACAUUAAAAUAACGUCAGGCCAAUAAAUCAAUAAUUAUUUUAUAAACUUAUUUGCCAAGAGGAUUUCACAAAGGUAGUAUUAGUGUACACUUAAAUAUAAUUAUAUGAUCUUUACUCGGCCAACAUAAUCAUAGAUAAAACUCUUAAGAAGAUUUCAAACACACAAAAGGAACGUUGUUGCUGACCGUUUGGCUAAGCAGGCUCUAAGCUGUGUAUCAAGUCGUUUUACCACGCUACUCUGAUGAUUUAGUGAAGUUGCGUUCCAAAAAAGAAAAAGAUCUCAAACACACAAAAACUGAUAAAAAGUAAUGCAUACCUACGUAUUAUUUUUGGAACAUAAACUUUACUUUAUGUUCUAAGUUCAACUAUAUUUAAUGCAACUAUCAGUUAUUUAUUCUAUUUUUAUUGUAUUAAUCUAUGAAAACUAUUUAUGAUAUUCCUCUUUGACCUAAGCAACUACAAAACAAAGUAAUACACUACUAUCAUUAACCAUAUCAAAUGAAUCAAAACCGAUUUCACAUUCGUUAAAAAAUAAAAUACAUGAACCCGGCGCGUAGCGCCGGAAUACCACUAGUAAUUUAUAAAAAUAAGACUGUAACUACCUGAAGUAUGAAUGUUUGGAUCACCGAUCUCCAAGACUCUCUUCAAGAUAAGUAUUUUAUUUUUAUGCUUUAUUUACAAGGUUAAUUAUAUUAAAACUAGAUUAAAUAAAAUAAUUUGUGUGAAAGUUGGCAAUGAUAUAAACUGUAUUCAGUAAAUUGAUUGAGUGGUUAAGAACCUUGUUAAAUAGCAUAUUAGUAAAAAUAAAAAUUACUGUAUUAAGUAAUUACUAUAUGUAUUAUUUAUUUCUUAGUAAAAUGUUUGUGAUAAUACAUAUCUUUAUAGAACUUGAAAUAAUUUUAUUAUCAUAUUUCAAUACCAUUUUAUAUAUGUGAGUUUUAAGUUUAAGGCUUGACCGUAAAAAAAAUCCACAAGUUUUGGAGAAUCUAUAUAUAUAAAGAAAUGUUUGCAUCUCUCCUGUGAUGCUAUGUCAGAAAUUCGGUUCACAAUGGCACGACACGUGUCUUCCCACACAGUCCGCAGCGUUUCAUUAACGUAAUUAUUCAAUAGAUGCAGGCUUUGUUUUGGAUUUGGACCUUAUGUUUUGCUGAAGGAACCAGCCCAAUAUAGAAUGCAAACAUAAGCGUCUCAGACGUGAUGUUAGGGUUCUUCCAAUUUUUUUUCUCGGCUGUUCCAGAGCGUAUGUUGAUUUGAAGAAUCUCAACGUAGGGUUUCGAAUGCGUCGUUUCAUCUUCUUUUCACAAUCCGAAACGCUCCCAGUUACUGAUUCAUCGCCUUAAUCCUCUUCUUAACUCUAUCAACCACGAUCUAGCCUUCAAAUGCGAGGUUCUCUUAUGCAAGGCGGUCUAUCUGCGACUAUAAAAAGUCAACUCUCAUACAAGCCACUGUGUACAGGGGGUUUAAUGUAUUCCAUAAGCGAUUUUGAUGUGACUCAGAGCAAUCUAAAGUCUCUCCUCUAUCAAUUUGACUGAAUCGUGCGUCUCCACCGUCAAAGUGCGUCUCAUCAGAUUCUGGGAGGCUCUCCCUCUCUCUUUGUUUUUUUUAGGAUGGUUAUGAUAGACAGAUGGUUUUUUUGAACUGUCAACUCUAUGUCUUUUCCUUCCUUGGUUUGUAAUAUGCUGAUGAGAACUCCUCCUUCUAUCAUAGGCUUACUAAAAUCUUGGGUUUGAUCUA